AAAGUCGUAACAAGGUUUCCGUAGGUGAACCUGCGGAAGGAUCAUUAACUUUAAAUUUAUACGUCUGUGACUCAGCAAUGGGGAUCAGCGUAUAAAACUUAAAAACCAAAAUUUACCAUCCGUGAACUAUAAACAAACCGGAACGUGAUGUAUUGUCUUGAGCGAAAGUUCUUGCAUGCGUCAUUUGAAUACCAAUUCCACAAUUUAUUAACCAUAUUAACCCAUUACCGUAAUGUUAUUCUUCUGAAUAGCAUACUAAAACAAACCAAUAGCGUGCUGUUACUUUUUGAACACAUGCAUAUUAUAUUCUAAUGAAUAGAGAAAUACAACUCUUAACAAUGGAUAUCUUGGCUCUC
rnacentral:misc_RNA from 1 species